rnacentral:rRNA from 1 species
AUUGAACGCUGGCGGCAGGCCUAACACAUGCAAGUCGAACGAGUGGCGGACGGGUGAGUAAUGUCUGGGAAACUGCCCGAUGGAGGGGGAUAACUACUGGAAACGGUAGCUAAUACCGCAUACCAUCGGAUGUGCCCAAAUGGGAUUAGCUUGUAGGUGAGGUAAAGGCUCACCUAGGCGACGAUCCCUAGCUGGUCUGAGAGGAUGAGCAGGCACACUGGGACUGAGACACGGUCCAGACUCCGACGGGGGGCAGCAGUGGGGAAUAUUGCACAAUGGGCGAAAGCCUGAUGCAGCGAUGCCGCGUGUAUGAAGAAGGCCUUCGGGUUGUAAAGUACUUUCAGCGGGGAGGCGUUACCCGCAGAAGAAGCACCGGCUAACUCCGUGCCAGCAGCCGCGGUAAUUC